UCGGGAAUUUUGGGCAAUGGGCGCAAGCCUGAUCCAGCCAUGCCGCGUGAAGGAUGAAGUAUUUCGGUAUGUAAACUUCGAAAGAAUAGGAAGAAUAAAUGACGGUACUAUUUAUAAGGUCCGGCUAACUACGUGCCAGCAGCCGCGGUAAUACGUAGGGACCAAGCGUUGUUCGGAUUUACUGGGCGUAAAGGGCGCGUAGGCGGCAAUUCAAGUCAUCUGUGAAAUCUCCGGGCUUAACUCGGAACGGUCAGAUGAUACUGCUUUGCUAGAGUGCAGAAGGGGCAAUCGGAAUUCUUGGUGUAGCGGUGAAAUGCGUAGAUAUCAAGAGGAACACCUGAGGUGAAGACGGGUUGCUGGGCUGACACUGACGCUGAGGCGCGAAAGCCAGGGGAGCAAACGGGAUUAGAUACCCAAGUAGUCCCUGAGCGGGCUGGCAAGGCGCAU
rnacentral:rRNA from 1 species